rnacentral:rRNA from 1 species
UACGGAGGAUCCAAGCGUUAUCCGGAUUCAUUGGGUUUAAAGGGUGCGUAGGCGGAAUGAUAAGUCAGUGGUGAAAUCCUGCAGCUUAACUGCAGAACUGCCAUUGAUACUGUCAAUCUUGAGUACAUUUGAUGUGGGCGGAAUGUGUCAUGUAGCGGUGAAAUGCUUAGAUAUGACACAGAACACCGAUUGCGAAGGCAGCUCACAAAACUGUAACUGACGCUGAGGCACGAAGCGUGGGUAUCAAACAGG